rnacentral:misc_RNA from 1 species
CGCAUGAAAUUCAAAUGAAAUGUAGUUUGUAAUUUAUGUAUUUGAAAAAUGAAAUGAUAAUUCGUAUUUUCUAAUAUUUGAAGAAGUUAUAAAAACUAAUUUCAUUUGACUUUGAAGUGGAGAUUGUUAGAGUUUAAAUUUAAUUAGAAUUAAAAAUUAAAAUUAAUUAAAAAGUUUAGUUAGAAUUACAUUAAAAAGAAAAUAAAUUAAGAAAAAAGAAAGUUUAAUUUGUUAAUUCGGUCGACCACUGAAUUCUAAUAGGAUUUGAAAGUCCAAAUUAAGAAAAAAGAAAGUUAGUUCUUUGUUUCUAUAUGAUCUAUAAAAGGACUUCUAGAUAGUAAGUUGUGUGCAGUUGAAGUAUUGCAUUUGUUAGUAAUUUGUGAGUGAUUUACGAGUGUUUUUGAGGAUGAGAAAAAUAAUUAACGUGUAUAAUUAUUUUUACUUUAUAAUGAAUUUAUUUAGUUGAGUCGACUUAUGCCGAAUCACGUUAAAUAAUAUUUUCUUUAAUUUAUGUGUGAGUUAGAAUUUCGCGGCAAUAAAAUGAAUUUAUAUAAUUUUUAAAUCGUAGAAAAAGACAUUUUUUUUUACAUCAUUAGAGAUUU